UUGGCGGGAGCGGCGCGCGGGUGGUCGCUCGCGCCGCCGCCUCACGGCAGAGGGCGGGGAGCGACGGGCGCCGCGGGAGGGUCUGAGGGCGCCGCCUUAGACCCGCGGGGGGCUGGGGAGGAGCGAUCGCAGGAGGCGCCUGUCCCCGCCACCCGGUGACAGGGUCGAAGGCCGGCCGCCGGUGUUCGGCCACCGCGGGGCGGCCACGUCGUGCGGGGCCCGCUGGGCAGCUGCUGAGGGUUAGAGAUGGUGCGUGGAGCUUGGCUCAGGAGGAGGACAGCUGCUGAGAAGUCAAAGAUCUGGAAGCAGAAUGAAGCCCUUGUGCUCCUCUCACUUCGUCAACGUGUUCCGAAGCAGCACGGACCAUCCAUCUCAUCGGAUGAUACAGAAGAGCCACUCUAUGGGUGUGUAACAGGGCUCAGGCAAUGUAAGCCUGGCUCAGCGACUCUCCCUGCGGCUGGAAUGUGGUGCAGGGGGUACUUCGGACUUGAGAAACGCUGUUACUCCAUGUAACUCCGGGGUGCUGAAGCAUCCCUGCCCUAUACCAGCUUUGGGAGUAAUUCACAAUCAUGUAACUCGCUUGGAAAACUCAAAUGUUUUCACAAAGCUGGGAAGACAGCGCAGGGGACUAAACCCAGUGGGAAACAACAUUAAGGAUAUUUGGCAUUUUCAUGAAGGCCCGAGUUUUCAACACCCUUUGUAAUGAUUAGGUGUUUAAUCUUCUGCCCUCUGAGCCAGUUCAGUAAUGACUACCUCUGUGAGGAAACAGGAUAAAGUUCUUGCUAGUUAAAGACCUGCAAUUAAAAUACUUAUCACUAUUCUUAACCUAGCUGGCUCUAUUUAUUACAUGUCUAAGUAAACACUAUUAAGAAAGUCCUUUAUCUGAACAAGUCACAGCUUGAUUGUGGUUAACAACAGUUUUUAUUACAGAAUUAUAACAUAUUUAAUUGUCUGGGCACAGCUGUGGUGCACAUCAGAAAAAGACAGUCACAGUCUUAUCUCUGGAUUUCCUUCCCCCUUAAGUUUAAUACAGAUUUUACCACAUCAUCUUAAUGUGUUCUCUUAGCUUCCUUUGUAUUUCAGUGAUGGGUUCACAGAACAAAAACAAGUGGUAAGAAAUGUGAAGUACUUUUACCCAUCUUUCUAGAAAGAUCUUGCCCCUAAAAUCACCCAGAAUGGCUUAAUCAUUCUACAUGUUUCUUUGAAAACCUGUGGUUUCCCACUGCAUGAAUGUGGUGGUGUGUUAAAUCCUGGCAGGAAUACUUUAAAAAAAUCAGUGUGGCAACUCCAACCAUUCCUUCUAAUCUUCAUUUUUUCUGUUCUGGAUGCCUUCUUAAGAGAUUAUAUUGCUACCUGGGCUUGGCUGGGACACCUUGGCUUAGUUCUGUGAGCCGUGGUGGCUAUUUUUGAUCCCCAGAUAAGAGCUGGAAACCAAGAGGAAUUUCAGGAACCCGCUCUAAGGAAAUGAAAUAAUUUGAAAGACCAUGUUUAUAAGAGUUGUUCUUGAAAGAAUCUAAACGCUAGAAAAUAGACAAACACUAAAUAAAUCUAGAUUAGGCCAUUUCCAAACCUCUCAAAUGCUGUUACAGUGCUGUUAGCUUGACCUGCCAAAGAAAUGCCAGAAAAGUUUCUCCUCUGUGACUUUUCCCAGUUUUUUCCUUGCCUGACUGGUUUGCCGAGACAAGAAGUCUGUCCCUGUACAGUGUAAGAGUUACACAACUGAUAAAUGGUCUCCAAAAGUCUCUCAGCAUUGCUAUGCUGCUUAUGCUGUUCUUUACCAGUGCUUCUCUGUGGUUAUUUAGGUGUGAACAGCUUUUAUUUUGAUCUGAUUGACAGCCAGCUGUCGUAGAUCCUGAUCCAUUAUUUGGUAGCUCGGAUAUAGCUAAUGUAUAUAAUUGCAGGUGUCAGGGGAGUAAUUGCAGCAAUGUAAUUAAAGGAGUGAAAGUUGGGCACUGUGGGUUAUCUGUGGGCAGAAAUCCUCAGAAUGUUUCGAAUUUUGAAACCCACAUGCAGCUGGUUCAUUCACAUGGAUUUGAUCUGAAGAGCAAACACAAUAGUAAUAACGUUUACAUAUGACAGUUUCCCAUAAAGUGCUUAGUAAGCCCUGAAAAAAUGUAUGAAAGAAGUUUCUAAUUACAGAUGUUAUAGCUUUGGAUGUUCUUGAGUAAUUACUUAAUUUUACAGGUGAUUUUUUUUUCCCUGAGAAAAUUCAAAGUGUACCUAGAAAGUGAAUAAAUCAUCACUGCAUUCA